GACGAACGCUGGCGGCGUGCUUAACACAUGCAAGUCGAGCGGAAAGGCCACUUCGGUGGUACUCGAGCGGCGAACGGGUGAGUAACACGUGAGUAAUCUGCCCUUGGCUUUGGGAUAGCCACCGGAAACGGUGAUUAAUACCGGAUAUGACCACUCUAGGCAUCUAGUGGUGGUGGAAAGUUUUUCGGCCAGGGAUGUGCUCGCGGCCUAUCAGCUUGAUGGUGAGGUAAGGGCUCACCGUGGCUUCGACGGGUCGCCGGCCUGGGGGGGUUACCAGUCACACUAGGACUGAGACACGGCCGAGAUUCCUACGGGAGGCAGCAGUGGGGAAUAGUGGACCAUGGGCGGAAGCCUGAUCCAGCAACGCCGCGGGAGGGAUGACGGCCUUCGGGUUGUACACCUCUUUCGGUAGGGACGAAGCGUGAGUGACGGUACCUACUAAAGAAGCACCGGCCAACUACGUGCCAGCCGCCGCGGUAACAC
rnacentral:rRNA from 1 species